AUGGAGUUUACCAAGUCUCUUGCACAUCUUCCACAAAUACAUCUAGAUGAUGUACAACGUCUUGCAGACAAGUUUUUGCUGACGACAAGAUCAAAGCUAGAGAAAGGACACAAAUUCUUUGUUGAACAGUACCUGUUUGAUUAUGAAGCCUUUCAAGGCCAUUUGGGGUAGAGGUUAUUUUCAAGGAAACGGGCGGGUGAAGCUCCUCUGUUUUCCCCCGUCGUAAGAUCGCUGUCUUUCUGCCGAGACUUCGUCUGAAACAGAUAUGCUCUCCCAGCACCAUUGUUCUCUUUCCAGAUAACUCAGAGGAAACACCUGGGCCCUGAUCCAAAAACAGCCAAACUCCUUCGAAGACUUGCUGACGACAACAGCAUCCCCACAAAGUGCACUACCGACUCUCUGCUCUCUAGUGAAUGUGUACAGACCAACAACCCAUUGAUCUUGAAGGAACGUGUCACCCAUUUCACGCUCAUUUAAUCAUCAUGUCAUUUCAGCGUAUUAUUUCUUCUCUUCAACACAAUUUUAGGCAAAGUGCAAAAAAAAUGUUGGUGAUUUAUAUUUUAUAUAGUGCCAUUAAAGAAAAAACUUUUUUCCAAAGCCAUACCUUACAUUUUUUAAGCUUAGUGGUAUAAAUCACCAUCCACUUAGAUUAUACACUAUAGAAAAACACAAACGAGUUUCUGCCCAACAUCUUCUGUUGUGUUGUUCCAGAAAGUAAAUAAUACACGACUGAACGUUACUUUUUACAGUGUUAAUUAUUAAAUGCAAUUUACUCUUUUUAAAUCUCUUUCUCUCUAAUGUCCAAAACGACUGACCUGCAGGUCAAAUAAAUUGUAAGUCAUUUUAAAUCACGACGUAAAGUUCCACGGGUGAGUGUCUUUGGGACUGAGCCGAUUUUGUAAUAUUAAAAGAUAACUAUGCAAGAUCACUUACAACAUUUACAUAGAAUAUUUCAUUAUUUGAGCACAAAGCUCAUUUGGCCUUAAUUUAUUAUUAUGUUUCACAUUUGAGCGGAAUUGGACUCAUUAGCCGACUUGUUUUAUAAUCUCCUGAUAAAACCAGACCUCCGACACUAUUAAAUAUUUCACCUGUUAUAUCCUCUAUUACAAGUGGAGUAAAAAUGAGGACAGUUCACUUUUUCUUAUAAAAUGACUGUUCUUUUAAUACACGUUCUGAGGACCAUCGGAAAUGAAUUAAAGAGCAAAGCUAUUCUUGCACACCGUUGUGGUGCUAAAAGUCACUGUUAACCCUGUCAAAACGACAUUCACAAAGUUUUUAAUUCUGUUAAUUUAUGCUAUGAUUAUCACUUACAGGUGUAAGUGUGUGAUCUGAGUGAAAGUAGCAGGAGCGGAGAUUGACACGCUAUGUGUAAGUGCGUGUGCGUGCGUGUGCAUGGCUUAAACUCUAAACUCAAAUGUUUGUAAUAGAACACUAGCUUGCUACUUUCUGAAGUGCACAACGCAACAGUAUGUAAACAAGUAUAGUCAUUGUUUUAAACAGUAUGGUAAUCACACAAGC